rnacentral:rRNA from 1 species
GAGAUGUGGGUAGUCCGCACGAGCGCAACCUCACUUUUAGUUGCCAUCAUUAAGUUGGGCACUCUGAAAGAACUGCCAGUGAUAAGCUGGAGGAAGGUGGGGAUGACGUCAAGUCCUCAUGGCCCUUACGUGUUGGGCUACACACGUGCUACAAUGGCAUCUACAACAGGAAGCAAAACGGCAACGUUAAGCAAAUCCCGAAAAGAUGCCUCAGUUCGGAUUGCACUCUGCAACUCGAGUGCAUGAAGCUGGAAUUACUAGUAAUCGUGGAUCAGCGUGCCACGGUGAAUGCGUUCCCGGGUCUUGUACACACCGCCCGUCACACCAUGGGAGUUGGUUCUACCUUAAGGCAAGGUUUUAAACCCUUGACCACGGUAUAGUCAGCGACUGGGGUGAAGUCGUAACAAGGUAGCCGUAGGGGAACCUGCGGCUGGAUCACCUCCUUUCU